rnacentral:rRNA from 1 species
CACCGCGGUUAUACGAGGGGCUCAAAUUGAUAUUACACGGCGUAAAGCGUGAUUAAAAAACAAACAAACUAAAGCCAAACACUUCCCAAGCUGUCAUACGCUACCGGACAAAACGAAGCCCCACUACGAAAGUAGCUUUAACACCUUUGAACUCACGACAGUUGAGAAA